rnacentral:rRNA from 1 species
CCUACGGGUGGCAGCAGUAGGGAAUCUUCCACAAUGGACGAAAGUCUGAUGGAGCAACGUCGCGUGAGUGAAGAAGGGUUUCGGCUCGUAAAGCUCUGUUGGUAGUGAAGUAAGAUAGGGGUAGUAAGUGGCUUUUUUUUGACGGUAUUUACUUAGAAAGUCACGGCUAACUACGUGCCAGCAGCCGCGGUAAUACGUAGGAUGCAAGCGUUGUCAGGUUUUAUUGGGCGUAAAGCGAGUGCAGGUGGUUCAUGAAGUCUGAUGUGAAAGCCUUCGGCUCAACCGGAGAAUUGCAUCAGAAACUGUUGAACUUGAGUGCAGACGAGGAGAGUGGAACUCCAGGGGUAGCGGUGGAAUGCGUAGAUAUAUGGAAGAACGCCAGUGGCGAAGGCAGCUCUCUGGUCUGCAACUGACGCUGAGGCUCGAAAGCAUGGGUAGCGAACAGGAUUAGAUACCCUAGUAGUC